rnacentral:rRNA from 1 species
AUACGGAGGAUCCGAGCGUUAUCCGGAUUUAUUGGGUUUAAAGGGUGCGCAGGCGGGAGAUUAAGUCGGCGGUGAAAUUUUGCAGCUCAACUGUAAAAGUGCCUUCGAAACUGGUUUCCUUGAGUGUAGAUGAAGUAGGCGGAAUUUGUGGUGUAGCGGUGAAAUGCAUAGAUAUCACGAGGAACUCCGAUUGCGCAGGCAGCUUACUAAACUACUACUGACGCUCAGGCACGAAGGCGUGGGGAUCAAACAGGAUUAGAUACCCUGGUAGUCCACGCAGUAAACGACGAUUACUAGCUGUUUGCGAUACAAUGUAAGCGGCUGAGCGAAAGCGUUAAGUAUUCCACCUGGGGAGUACGUUCGCAAGAAUGAAACUCAAAUGAAUUGACGGGG